UUUUUUUUUUUGUUUUUUGUUUUUUUUUUUUUUUUUUUUUUUUUUUUUUUUUUUUUUUUUUUUUUAGCAGGAUCAACCUCGAUUCCUCUCUUAUAAUGAACCCCCAGCAUUUUACCAGACCGCACUCUGAUAGUGCACUUAUCUGAAUUCAACCUCAGUCUGAAUUGUCUCAACUGGUCUGCUUAGCUUGGCCAGAUCUGCCAGAUGCCCCUCUUCUGUUUGGGACUUUGUUAUCAUGUCA
rnacentral:lncRNA from 1 species